rnacentral:lncRNA from 1 species
GAAUGCUUGCUUGGAUAUAAUGGCUAUCUUCAUUUGAUGCCUUGGUCUUCAUAUGAUGCUUGGAUAUUGCUCAUUUCUUAUUGCUUAUUGCUUGUCAAAGUCCAAAGGAAAAUGGAUUUUUAUAUGACAUUCUUGUCUGUUGGAUUGUAUCCCAAUAGUCAGAUCUUUUCAACUCUUAACUUUUAAUUUUUUGCUUAGGAUAGUC